rnacentral:lncRNA from 1 species
AGAGAGGCUUUUGUUGUCACAAGAUCAUAUAAGUAAAUAUCUAUGUAUUUUAUGCUUUUAUUUUUAUCCCCUAAUUUUUAUGGGAAAAAAAAAAACGGAAGCCUUCAUUUGUUGUUGUUUUCAAAUCAGUGGGAAGAAGGAACUAGAGAGUAGAAAACAAGCAGCUUAUGUCUGUCUUUCCCUCCCUCUCUUUUUCUUUCUCACACACUCACACACUAACAGAUGUGCAAUGACAUUUUAAUCGUAUAUGCCAAAAGUAAGACAUUUGGGUAUGCAUACCAGAUUGGGAAAUAAAAUGUUUUGAUUGUUGUUACUGCUGUUAUUUUGGUGCUAAAGAUUGAACCCAGGGCUUUGGACAGAAAAUACAGCUUUCUACCUCAUAAUCCUGUGGCCAGCCAUAACCCAUAGAGUUCAGGAAGCCCCCAUGGUCAUGAGAACUGCCAGUGGGUAGAAACCUCUAUUUUAAAGGAUUAUAAAAUAUUUUAAAAUGAUAAUUAUGUUGAACAUGGAAUUAAAAAUGUACCUACAUAAGUUAAGGGAAAAUUAAUACAUAGCUAACAUUUUAUAAGAAUUUUCUCCUUACAAAAUUAGGUGUGUGUGUGUGUGUGUGUGUGUGUGUACACAAUAAUAAUUCUAAAAUUAUAUUCUACUCCACCAACACUACCAUAUUUUUUUAAGGAGAUUAUUUUAAUCCUCUUGAUAGUCUUAUACUUUUAAAAAUCUCUUGUUCUUUCUGUAUAGGCUACAUAGAUAGGAGUAAUGAUGAUAGGAUGUAUAAUAUGAUUGCUUAAGAGCAUUUAUAAUUUAUUAAAUAAAUUUAUCAUGAAAUGUAAUAUCCUUGAAAAAGAAUGACCCUUAUCUAAUUUAGGAAUAAAUGUUAAAGAUCUCAUAAUGAAAUAAGAAUUCGAAAUUCUAGGGGAUACCGCGUUACCACCUAUGGCCCCUUUCUCCCUCACGGGAGAAGUCUAUGUUACCUCUUUUUAAAUAAACUCUGCUUCAUAUGUUUGCCUCCGCAUGCUUCUCUAAUGUUCCAGGUUCAACAUGUGGGGAAGCAGGACUCGUCACCGAUAACUGGCAGUAUCAUAUUUGGAGGUUCCACUGAGGUCUACCCCGAGGGGUGAAGAUUGACCUGUUUUAUAAAUUCAGUGGAAGUGGAUUCAAAUCUGUUAAUUCAGAGGGGAUGAAGAUUGUAAUUUUUUUGGCGGGCACAACAUCUUUGUUUGUAUGUGGUGCUGAGAUUGAACCCGAGCCGCACGCAUGCCAGGCGAGCAUGCUACCGCUUGAGCCACAUCCCCAGCCUCAAAGUGGCAAAUUUUUUUAGGCACUCAAUAAAAUCUACACAUAUGGUGAAUGUUCUCAACUGCAGAAAAGAGUCCCACUAAGAAGAUAUUGUCUGAUUACAAUGGACCCUAAGUGUUCACAAGAAAGAUAGCAGCCCUUGUGUGAGUGGUAAAAGGCAAAUCAACAUCUCUUCCACAUUGAGAUAUUUCUACAUGCUUCAGACCUCAAUAUUCUUCAUUGAGUGAGUGAUCAAAUUUUGUCAACUGCCCAUAGGCCUUUUCCUGAUCUGGAAGAAGGUAAAUUAAAAAGAAGUAUCCUCCAUAAGAACCUCAAAAAUUGUGAAAAUUAAGUACCACUCUACUUUCUCCUCUUUUGAUACUUCCCACUGUCCCUCAGAUUUUGUGCUUACCUUAUAUAAAUAUAAGCUUUGAUGUCAUAUUAUUGAGAUGUUUUUAAUGCAAGGUUAUUGUGUUAUAAAAAUAAUUUGAUAAUUUAAAUAAAACUAUUAAUAGUUUUUUAAAAAAAAAAAAAAAGAAAUUCUAUAUUCUUACCUAAAUAUAAAACCUGUUCCUGGGACUGGUACUUGAUCUUAAUCCAUAAUCAUUUGGACAGAGUUCCAUAUUUAGUCUCCCUAUACCUUAUUUUUGCAUUAUAAAUGCCUAAAUCUUAGAAUUCAUUCUGCAAGCCUAUUAAUGACUCCUUGGAUGAUUCCCUUGGAAUUAUAGAAUAUUUUCUUUGUGAACCAUUCAUAUUGACUUUUUAAUUUUUAUUUUUGUUGUUAUAUACAUAUAUACACUAUAUAUUUACAUAAAUGUGUAUUUAUACUAGGCACAUGCUCUAUCACUGGGUUAUUGUCCCCCUGCCCUAUCUGGUAUUAUUUCUUAUGAUAUGUAACAUAUAUACAGAGACAUGUUUAGAACAGAUAUGUACAUUUUGGUGGAAAUUAUAAAGCAAACACCUAUAUAAGUCACCAUCUAGGUCUUGAAACUCGUGAGGACUCCCAAAAGUCCCUACUUUUUCUCUACUCAUGGAAAGUUUAUGAUGGUUGUGCCUUGAUUUUACUGUUCAUCCCAAAACACAGUAAAUAAAUGGGUUCAUAUUGUAUGUUUUUUUCUAUUCAGCAUAUGUUUAUGCCAAUAACUCAGGCAUUUGUGUUGUAGUGUAUUUAUUUUCAUGAUAUAGCCUUGUAUUUCUGUACCAUAAUUACUGUUAAUCAAUACUUUUAUGGUUUCCAGGAUACACUUUGUGUUUAUUUUUAUUUUAUAUUUUUGUAGGGAUGGGUUCAAACCCAGGGCCUUUUACUUUACCACUGAGGUCUCAUCUCCUGUGAGCUUUUGUUUUUGUUGUGAACACUGAUGUGUGAACAUUUUUAUACAAGUGUCAGGGUAAAUAUGUUUCGAUAGGAUGUGUAUUUAGGAAGGAAGGCAUUACUAGUUUUUAAGGCAUGUAUACCCCUUAAAUAGACAGUGACACAUUGUUUUCUUAAGUGAUUGUACCAAGCAUAAUGUUAUCUUUAAGAUUCUUUACCAUGACUUCAAAUAUUUGCUAAAAGUUUCUUGAAAGUAAAAAACAAAGUAGUUAUACUAUGGUAUUGGAUUUUAUUUUAAAAUUAAUUUAAAACUUGCAUCAAGAAAUAAAGGAUGAAAACCCAUUCUUUUUAAAUUAUUGUUUUGAAAUCAUUGUUUCUUCUCCGUGGUGGAUGAUAUGAAUUAUGUACCAUAACUACUAUUGAAUGAUUGAACUUAUAAGCAAUUAUUCAUGUGGUUUCAUUUCUCCAAAAUAUCAUUUGAUUUUAUCACAGAACUUUUUAAAGAUAUAUGUUGUGGGGUAGAAGGUGUAGCUUGGUGGUAGAGGCUCUGGGUUCAAGUCUUAGCAUCUCCCAAAUAUAGCCAGACCCUGUUUCAAAAAUGGCUAGGGAUAUAGCUCCAUGGUAGAAUGCCCCUGGGCUCAAUCCCCAGAACCACAAAAUUAUUUUAUUAUUUAAUUAUUAAUAAUAUUGAGUCAAUUUGGUAUUUAAUAAUUUAAAUAAAGUUUAUAGGUAUUUAAAUCACCUUUUAUUGUUAUUACCAAUGAUUGAUCAUUAAGUAUUUUGAACAUGCAUCUUGUAAUUUUUGAGGUAGAUUCCAAGCUAUAAAAUUAUAUUUCCAAAAUAUGCAAGCAUAAAGCUUGAUAGUAUUACAAAAUUACCCUCCAAAAAGUUGUUUCAGUUAACAUUCCUAUCAAAUGCUAUUUUCCAACACUGUGUAUUAUCAGGAUAUUUUGUGUUUACCGUUCUCAUAGUUGAAAAAUAAGAUUGUUUACAUUUAUUUAAUCAUGAAUAAAGGUAAGUAUG